CCUGGUGGCUCAGAGGUUAGAGUGUUUGCCGGGAAUGCAGGAGACCCAGGUUCAAUCCCUGGGUCAGGA
rnacentral:tRNA from 1 species